rnacentral:rRNA from 1 species
CAGCAGUGGGGAAUUUUGGACAAUGGGCGCAAGCCUGAUCCAGCAAUGCCGCGUGAGUGAAGAAGGCCUUCGGGUUGUAAAGCUCUUUUGUCAGGGAAGAAACGGUGAGGGCUAAUAUCCUUUGCUAAUGACGGUACCUGAAGAAUAAGCACCGGCUAACUACGUGCCAGCAGCCGCGGUAAUACGUAGGGUGCAAGCGUUAAUCGGAAUUACUGGGCGUAAAGCGUGCGCAGGCGGUUUUGUAAGUCUGUCGUGAAAUCCCCGGGCUCAACCUGGGAAUUGCGAUGGAGACUGCAAGGCUAGAAUCUGGCAGAGGGGGGUAGAAUUCCACGUGUAGCAGUGAAAUGCGUAGAUAUGUGGAGGAACACCGAUGGCGAAGGCAGCCCCCUGGGUCAAGAUUGACGCUCAUGCACGAAAGCGUGGGGAGCAAACAGGAUUAGAUACCCUGGUAGUCCACGCCCUAAACGAUGUCUACUAGUUGUCGGGUCUUAAUUGACUUGGUAACGCAGCUAACGCGUGAAGUAGACCGCCUGGGGGUACCGGUCGCAAGAUUAAAACUCA